AUGAAAUGACUCUCGGCAACGGAUAUCUAGGCUCUUGCAUCGAUGAAGAACGUAGCGAAAUGCGAUACUUGGUGUGAAUUGCAGAAUCCCGUGAACCAUCGAGUCUUUGAACGCAAGUUGCGCCUGAAGCCAUUAGGUUGAGGGCACGCCUGCCUGGGCGUCACAC
rnacentral:rRNA from 1 species